rnacentral:rRNA from 1 species
UGCCAGCAGCCGCGGUAAUACGGAGGGGGCUAGCGUUGUUCGGAAUUACUGGGCGUAAAGCGCAUGUAGGCGGAUGAAUUAGUCAGAGGUGAAAGCCCCGAGCUCAAUCGCAGAACUGCCUUUCAAACUGGAAGACUUGAGGCCGAUAGAGGAAAGCGGAAUUAGCAGUGUAAGGGUGAAAUCUGUAGAUAUUGCUAAGAACACCAGCGGCGAAGGCGGCUUUCUGGAUCGGUUCUGACGCUGAAUUGCGAAAGCUAGGGUAGCAAACGGAAUUAGAUA